rnacentral:sRNA from 1 species
GCUGGGUGCGGUGGCUCACGCCUGUAAUCCCAGCACUUUGGGAGGCUGAGACGGGUGGAUCACCUGAGGUCAGGAGUUCGAGACCAGCCUGGCCAACAUGGUGAAACCCCGUCUCUU